CUCAAAUUUUGUCCAUAUUUCUUGUUCUUGAUCUAAUCUAAAUUUGGAGUUCAGAUUAAUUCACCUCCCAAUUAGAUGUUGGCUAUUCUUAUUCUUUUUAUCUUGGAAAGUUGGGUUUCAAGAAAACUGAGAAUUAUCAUGUUAUGUUUUCAUUGAAUUUAUUCCCAUCACAUCAAUUGUUUUAGCAUCCUUGUGUGCCAGAGUUCCUGUUUAAUCUGUAUUUCCUCCAUCUAUAAGUGUAGUGCUGUACUACCCAUGGAUUUUUGGAGUGCUACUAUUAAACAUGGCCUAUCUUUGCUUAUCUGGUUAUUAAAAUCAUUUGAGGUUCUUGUUUUGACAUUGUUCGUUAUACUUAUGAGUUUCUCCUUCAAGUCUUGGUGAUGGUUUGGUUAUCUUGGUGGAUGAUGACUUUUCAUCCUUAUCAACUUUGAGUUCUUUGUUUGGAUUGGUUGGCAUACAAUCAAUUUUAAAGUAUCAUUUGAUCCUUGGAAGAGAAAUAUUUGAUUUAGAUCAAUUUAAUUUUCAAAC
rnacentral:lncRNA from 1 species